UACGGGGGGUCCAAGCGUUGUUCGGAAUCACUGGGCGUAAAGCGCACGUAGGUGGCUUUUCAAGUCUGUUGUGAAAGCCCAGGGCCUAACCCUGGAAGUGCAGCAGAUACUGUUAAGCUUGAGUAUGGGAGGGGAUAGUGGAAUUUCUGGUGUAGUGGUGAAAUACGUAGAUAUCAGAAGGAACACCAGUGGCGAAGGCGGCUAUCUGGCCCAAUACUGACACUGAGGUGCGAAAGCGUGGGGAUCAAACAGG
rnacentral:rRNA from 1 species